rnacentral:lncRNA from 1 species
UAUAAAAAAAUAAGUUGCAUUUUCAGAACAAAAAAUUUAUCUAUAUUAAUAUCAAAGUUUUUUCUUGCGUAAUAAAAACUAUGCAUUCAAUAGAUUUUUGUUAAAAUUUUUAAUAAUAAAACUAAAAAAAAAAAAAAAAACAACAAUAUAACUUGUUUUCUUAAUGUAGUUUCUUUUAAACAAAAAAAUUUUUAAUUUAAAAUUUUAAAAAUAAUAUUAAUUAUUACCAUUAAAUACAAAAACAUAUGCACAAAAUUGUCUAUAUAUUUUGAGUACAUUCACCCUUUCAAUAAGUUUUACACACAAGAAAAAUAUAUAUAUAUAUAUAUAUAUAUAUAUAUAUUUUGUUUUUGUAAGAAACAAAUAUAACGCAAUAAACCUUUUGAUUAUCCCACAGCUCUUUUAAAAUGUGCUGUAUGUUUUAAUGUAAGUACGCAACGAUUUAAAAAAAAAAAAAAAAAAAAAAAAAACACCACGUAAUAAAAUAUACCUUAUAUAUAUAUAUUUACGUAUACAUGUUUAUUUUUACAUGUAAAUAUCGUAUUAAUUAAACUUCACUAUACAAAAAUAUAUGUCUUUCCCUAAAUGAGAAAGUUUAAUUUUGUAAAUAUUUGCUCUUUUUAUUUUUAAGUAAGAACUUAUACAUAUUUUAAUAAAAAUAGCUACUUACUGUGUUUUUAUCCGUUUAUUUAUUUAUCUCUCUAUCUAUUUAACCAUUUUAUAAUCCCUCUUAUUUUAAUAAACUCUUUUAACCUUUAUAAUAAAGCUAUUAUUCAACAAUGAGGGAAAUAAUUUUUGUAUUACCUGUCGUGUUAUUUUUUUUUACAAGUUCUUUAACCCAAGUUAUUAAUCAGGAGAACAAUAAAAUUCCUGCGUAUAGCACUAUAGCUAAUUCAGUGCAACCUCCUCAAAUUGUUAUUGAUGUUAAUAAACAUAAAAAUGUGUAUGAUUCAAUUUUAAGAAAAAACAACAUGGAUAUUCUGGAAAAGAAUAAUAAACUGGAAAAUAUUACUAGUAGUGUGGAAGAAUUAUUACAUCUUAUUGAGGAUAACAAAAAUGAACUAUUAAAAGAUACUACUCCAGAAGAUUAUGGAUUAAAAAUAAAAACAGAAAUUAUGAAUGCAACUGAUGAACAUGUUUUAAAUUUAUUAUUAAAUAAUGAAGAAGAUAAAUUAAAAGAAACUAAGGCAGAACAAAUUGGCCCAAUCAUAGUAGUUUUACCUCAACCCUUAUCAGAUCAGGAAUCGCUUUAUUACGACAAAUACAAAGAUCUAAUAAAAGAUGUUGAACCAACGAAGAGUUUAUUAUUGAGAGUUAUCUAUUUUGAAAAAAUUGCAACAAUUAAAAGUCAAAAUAAAAAAGAAGCUACCGAUGAAUUGGAAAAUACCAAGGAUAUAAUAAAAAAGUGUGAAUCAAGAAUAAAUGCUAUUAAAGCAAUAUUAGAUGAAAUAUCAUACAACGCAUAUGGAAAUGAAGAUAAAACUACUAAAAGAUUGAAGAGCGAAAAGGAAUUUUUAAAUCAGAAAUUAAAUGUUUUAAAUCGUAAAAUUAGAAAAUUAGAACGGAAUUAUUUCAAAAAUAUUCCUCUUUUCAAAUCUUAAAUGAUGAAAAGAAGAGAGAAAAAACACAAAAAACGUAAAAAACGUAAAAAACGUAAAAAAUGUAAAAAACGUAAAAA